UAAUUCCUAAUUUUAUUUAUGGAAAUAAUGAAGCACAUUAGUAAUGUAUUUAUAGUUAGUUUAAUAAAAAGUUUAUUAUAUAUUUAGAUGGACCAUAUUUCUCUAAGGAUUCUAAGAAUCAUUUUAGUGAUGACAUGUGGCUACAAAAAAAAUGUUAUAAUGCUUCUCAAAUAAUAUAUAGGGGAUUUUUUUCCGCGUUCAUCCUAAACCAAAACUUAAAUUUAUCGAUGAUAUUCAUAAAAAUUCGAGUUGAUUACCAUCUAAAGCAUUUGCAAAUGUCUUAACACAUAAGCCCUUUUUCAAAAAAAAAAAAAGAGUCUUAACACAUGUAUACAUCUUACUAUUAAAAUACGAAUAUGGAAAAUGUGAAUUAACGUCAUCCUCCAUACCUCAACUCCUUAACAAUAAACAUUUGAUACUAUACAUUUUUACAAUUGGGAUGCCAAAUCUGAUUGGUUUCCUAACGACGUUUAAUUUUUUAUCGUUUAUAAUUUCAAAGAUAUACUACCAAAUUUCAUUCCAAACUAUAAUUCGUUGGGGGAACUAAUGUAAAACA
rnacentral:lncRNA from 1 species